GCAAGUAGAACGCUGAAGAGAGGAGCUUGCUCUUCUUGGAUGAGUUGCGAACGGGUGAGUAACGCGUAGGUAACCUGCCUUGUAGCGGGGGAUAACUAUUGGAAACGAUAGCUAAUACCGCAUAACAAUGGAUGACCCAUGUCAUUUAUUUGAAAGGGGCAAAUGCUCCACUACAAGAUGGACCUGCGUUGUAUUAGCUAGUAGGUGAGGUAACGGCUCACCUAGGCGACGAUACAUAGCCGACCUGAGAGGGUGAUCGGCCACACUGGGACUGAGACACGGCCCAGACUCCUACGGGAGGCAGCAGUAGGGAAUCUUCGGCAAUGGGGGCAACCCUGACCGAGCAACGCCGCGUGAGUGAAGAAGGUUUUCGGAUCGUAAAGCUCUGUUGUAAGUCAAGAACGAGUGUGAGAGUGGAAAGUUCACACUGUGACGGUAGCUUACCAGAAAGGGACGGCUAACUACGUGCCAGCAGCCGCGGUAAUACGUAGGUCCCGAGCGUUGUCCGGAUUUAUUGGGCGUAAAGCGAGCGCAGGCGGUUUGAUAAGUCUGAAGUUAAAGGCUGUGGCUCAACCAUAGUUCGCUUUGGAAACUGUCAAACUUGAGUGCAGAAGGGGAGAGUGGAAUUCCAUGUGUAGCGGUGAAAUGCGUAGAUAUAUGGAGGAACACCGGUGGCGAAAGCGGCUCUCUGGUCUGUAACUGACGCUGAGGCUCGAAAGCGUGGGGAGCGAACAGGAUUAGAUACCCUGGUAGUCCACGCCGUAAACGAUGAGUGCUAGGUGUUGGAUCCUUUCCGGGAUUCAGUGCCGCAGCUAACGCAUUAAGCACUCCGCCUGGGGAGUACGACCGCAAGGUUGAAACUCAAAGGAAUUGACGGGGGCCCGCACAAGCGGUGGAGCAUGUGGUUUAAUUCGAAGCAACGCGAAGAACCUUACCAGGUCUUGACAUCCCGAUGCUAUUUCUAGAGAUAGAAAGUUACUUCGGUACAUCGGUGACAGGUGGUGCAUGGUUGUCGUCAGCUCGUGUCGUGAGAUGUUGGGUUAAGUCCCGCAACGAGCGCAACCCCUAUUGUUAGUUGCCAUCAUUCAGUUGGGCACUCUAGCGAGACUGCCGGUAAUAAACCGGAGGAAGGUGGGGAUGACGUCAAAUCAUCAUGCCCCUUAUGACCUGGGCUACACACGUGCUACAAUGGUUGGUACAACGAGUUGCGAGUCGGUGACGGCAAGCUAAUCUCUUAAAGCCAAUCUCAGUUCGGAUUGUAGGCUGCAACUCGCCUACAUGAAGUCGGAAUCGCUAGUAAUCGCGGAUCAGCACGCCGCGGUGAAUACGUUCCCGGGCCUUGUACACACCGCCCGUCACACCACGAGAGUUUGUAACACCCGAAGUCGGUGAGGUAACCUUUUGGAGCCAGCCGCCUAAGUGA
rnacentral:rRNA from 1 species